rnacentral:rRNA from 1 species
AUUGAACGCUGGCGGCAGGCCUAACACAUGCAAGUCGAGCGGAGCGGCGGACGGGUGAGUAAUGCCUAGGAAUCUGCCUGGUAGUGGGGGAUAACGUUCGGAAACGGGAGCUAAUACCGCAUCCCACCAGAUGAGCCUAGGUCGGAUUAGCUAGUUGGUGGGGUAAAGGCCUACCAAGGCGACGAUCCGUAACUGGUCUGAGGGGAUGAUCAGUCACACUGGAACUGAGACACGGGCCAGACUCCUACGGGAGGCAGCAGUGGGGAAUAUUGGACAAUGGGCGAAAGCCUGAUCCAGCCAUGCCGCGUGUGUGAAGAAGGUCUUCGGAUUGUAAAGCACUUUUAGUUGGGAGGCGUUACCAGCAGAAUAAGCACCGGCUAACUUCGUGCCAGCAGCCGCGGUAAUUC